CAGCACCUCAAGUGGUCAGGAUGAUUAUUGGGCCUAAAGCAUCCGUAGCCGGCGCUGUAAGUUUUCGGUUAAAUCUGUACGCUCAACGUACAGGCUGCCGGGAAUACUGCAGCGCUAGGGAGUGGGAGAGGUAGACGGUACUCGGUAGGAAGGGGUAAAACCCUUUGAUCUAUUGAUGACCACCUGUGGCGAAGGCGGUCUACCAGAACACGUCCGACGGUGAGGGAUGAAAGCUGGGGGAGCAAACCGGAUUAGAUACCCGAGUAGUCC
rnacentral:rRNA from 1 species